CCAUAUGCCAUCCGCGCGACUCCCAGGCUGUUUGAAAGCAGAAGUCAAAAAAAACACUCUGCACUCUUAAAAUGCACCAGGGAAGGGUUUGGCUUCCUUCAACAGGGAAGAGAGAGAACCCUAGUCGUGAAAAUGCUGCUCUCUUCCUUGAAAAUUAGUCCUUUGGUAUUUUAAAAUAAUAAAAAGCAAUAUGUUUUUAUGCAAAAAAGGAAUUUCCUCAAAGUAAUUAUAGUAGCCGAUCAAGGAUAACGGGAAAAUGUGUUGUGGGAAAUCAAGCUUUCAGGUGGCGCUAACACUUCCAGAGUUGAUGGGCCGCACACCUUGUCGCCAGCCUGUUGGAGCGCUGGAAACAUCUGGAGGAAUCUGCUGACGCCACCCCCUCUCCCAGCUCUGAUGCCCUCAACGUGGGACCCUAGGGAUCUUGAUCCUGUGCAUUGGGUGGCCUCCCUGUAAAGCCUUUGAGUUCUCACCUAACAUCACAGAAUCUUUAUCCUCUGCUGCAUUUCUGACACCCUAGCUGUUGGUGUUCCUGUUUGCCCUCGACAAGUCUGUGCAGUUGCUGGAGAGCUGUGCUUGUUGUGGGUGAGGACCUGCCACUGUUUUCCUUUGUAACCCAAUUCUAGGCUGAUCAAUGACUUGACUUUCUGGAGACAUAUUCACCUAUUACCACAUUUUCAGCUAUCGUCUUCCUGGAUGCUUGGAAUUUUCCAGAAUAAAAUGAUCUUUAAAAAUAAGGAAAUAGUCUCUAGAGCAGCAGCAUUGGACUCCUUGGGUUCCCACUCAAGCUCUGCCUUUCAAAAUCUGGAUCACCCAGAUGCAGACUCAGAGGCAAAAACUUGGAUGCUGGUGGCUUCUUGGGAGGUGAUCCCUGGAAGCGGAAGCAAGGAAUGGAGAAAUGAGACAGAGGAGGAGAAAGCCAACAAGAGGCACAUGGAUGAGGGGAGCGCAGGGUACAGAGGAGAUUCAGUCCCUCCAGGGGCUCUCCCAGAAACUGUGGAACAGGCCUCAGAACUGUCCCGCCUGAGUGUGGGAAGGCUGGGCAUUGAUCCUGGGUCGUUUCAGGGGCAUCAACUCCCUGGUUGUAGCUGUGUGCAACCUGUAUUGCUGAGAAAGCCCCAGGCAGAGACCCUGAGAGACGUGGGUGUUUGAGAUUGGAAGCUGUCAGUGUGCCAGAUCGCCUACCACAGCUGUACGUCAACUGGAGGUGGGCCGAGGGGCUACAGAGUGGGCUUUGUCACAGGUUGGGUUCCAGGCAGCAGACUCUGGGAUGGAGAUUAGUAUGUAAGAGGUAUUUUAGGAAGUGCUCUUGGAAUCAACACCUGUGGGGGGAUGGGAAGAAAGCAGGAGUGGGCAGAGGGGGAAGUUAGUUUUGCUGCAAUGCAGUUUCAAGGAAGGUCCAAGCUGACCCCUCAGGGAGCUUUAAAGAAAGGAUGGCUCUUUAGCAUUGCCCUGAGUUGGGGCAAAGGGGAAGGCUCUUUAUAUCCCCGUGUGGACCAGUCUUUGGAUGAGGGCUGCCCUGGGCAUGACGGCUUCCUUCAGCCAAGGCAAUUCCCCAAGAGGGCUGAGAGCUGAGGGCCCCUGGCCAGUAUCCCACUGAGCUACCAGGGAAAUGAGCCCUUCCUUCCUGCAGGGAGAUCUAGGCAGCACAUCAUGGCAUCUACCACAGACAUCAACAGUGCCCACAUCACACAAUUUGGAAGAGAGGAGUGCAGGUGGAGGAACUCCAAGGCCACAAAGCCCAGGUCUUUGACCAUGACUCUGGGCUGCAGUCCCACAGUUGAGAGCUUACUCUGAGUUAGAAUAAUAAAAGGACCAAAGUCCCACUCCCAUUCUGACUCUAAAAUACGUUUCUAGGACUCAUACUUUUCUAGGACUCUCAAAAUUAUUUGGUUCCACCAUUUGAUGUGACAGUAACCAAUCUGGUUUCUCCUAAUUCAUUGUGGUGACAGUAGUAGCAAUGACAAUAAAACUCAUGAAAGUCUUGGCAACCAUGAGCUGAAGCCAGGCUCCCCAAACCCAUCAUAAGCUGUCUAGUUUUGAGGUGGCAUCCAAUAGAUGUAGUGGCCAUUGAAGGAGGCACAGGAGUAAAGAUCUAGAGUGGGCAUGGGUGCUUAGAGGAUUUUCCUGGUGGGACUGAAGACCCCAAGACAAACAGGAUGGUACUUUGUGGGCUUGUAGAAAAGGAUCUGGAAGUGACUAGUGUGUUCAUUCCGUUGCUUCGAGGUGAUAAAAACCUACAUUUUCCUGGAAUUCUUCCCCAGCUCCCCUAAAAUUCAGACUGGAUUAAUAGAAACCGGAGGUCAUCUCUGAGCAUUUUUUUGUUGGCCAAUGAAAAACUAGUUUUGUUGAUACAAAAGGUUGCAAUGACAAUGUGAGUAUGUAUUUCUGGGUCCUGGGCAUCCUUAGAGGACCCGGAAGUGCCUGUGAAUCAUUUUGUUUGCAUUACACAUCUGCUUUCUUUUCCCUUGGCCCAGGGCACAUUUGCAGUUUUAUGUCACAUUAACGGUUUCUUGGCUGAUUUUUCUUGGGCUCUAUGCUAUGAUGAAAAGUUUGCCAUGAUUCCUGAGCCUGAAAAAACAUUUGACAAAUCCACUAAGAUAAGGUGCCACCCACGCCAAAAACUAUCUGUGAAGUAGAAACCCUCUUUCACCAUUUGUGAUUCGUUCAAUGACGCUUUGACCAAAAGGCCAUCUCACAGUUUAGUGGAGGAUACAAUGGGAAAAGAUGGGCAGCAAACAUGCUCUUUUGCACAAUCCAGUGUUUGGGAAAGUGGGAGUGGAGUUGUCCCAGGGGGAGUAUAACUGGAUGCUAGUCUCAGCAUCUCUGGGUGACUUUGUGUAACGACGAGAAUUUGGUGGUUUUGGGUAAGGCCCACCGAGUACCAUGAUUAAAAUUCUUAGUCCUAGAGGGAGGGCAAAGGUCAUUCCAACACCCUAGAAGCAAGGAGAGAGGAGAGAGAGUGCACAAUUUUGUUCUUUUGGUGGUUUUAGUUUAGGGCCACGCAUAGCAGGGUCUCUAAUCACAGUUUGGGUCUUGGCUGUCAUGUGUUCAGAGAUAUGAAAGUCACUUUUAUGUUAAUUUUUGUUUUGGCAGGCAGGAGCUUGGGUCCAUUCUGGAAGUGAACAUUUGGAGUAGGCAAGGAGAAAGUGUUUGGAGUGUGAUAUAAAAGGAUGUUGAUGUUAAUAUUCCCUCACUCAACCUUAGGUCCUUGGCCCAUAGUUCCUGAGAGGGAGGCUUCAAGACUAAACACGUUGGAAUCCUUAUGAGAGGCCACCUGUCCUCCCGUCAGAGCAGCAUAAGUAACUUUGGAAAUGGAGGGGUAGGAAUUGGAAGUGGCAGCCGCAUGAGGCAUUUUCUCUCCAUCCUCAUUGUCUUUUACACUCUUGAUUGUUCUUUCAGAACACUGUCACCUACGUUCGAGUGUUUCAACACCACAGGCAAGACAGGAGGAGGUGGUGUUUCCUUUUCCUACUACAGACAAGGAGAUGGACCUAAGACUGGUUCGAGUUAUUGCUUUGGGUGAAAAAGUUAUAAGUGCCAGAGCAGGGCAUGGAACCAGGUCUCAGAUCCCAGUGUGUUGUGCUUUCUGCCAAGCAGUAAUGACUUUUUGUCUCCUGUGUGUUUCAGUCUUGCCUUCCAUCUCUGGACAUCCAGAUCUCUCUCUCUCCCUCUCUUUUUUUCUCUCUCUUUCCAUCCUUCAGUCAGUCUGUCUGUCUAUUUGUCUACCUAUCCAUCCAUCCAUCCAUCCAUCCAUUCCAUCCAUCUAGAUAGGAAAGGGCCUACCACACAAGUUAGUCUUUUAAACAAGGAAUGAAACUGACCGCUGGACAACAGCCCAAUAGCUAUUGCUGGUGAAACAUUUCUUUCGUUUGAGCUACAUAAAUUCAGAAUUUGUUGAUAAUUCACCAAAAGCAUAAUAUGAGCUAUCUGUCAAGAUAGAAACAAUUAGUAAGAAUUCAAUAAAAACAGGACAGUUUUAAUUUAUUAAAAAAAUUGUUUAAGAACAUUAAACAUUAACAAACUUGCACAAUUAGCGUUUGUUGCUGUAUAAAAACAAGUAAUGUACCAAAUACUCUGUCCAUUAAAGCUGGUUUAGCAGGUCCUUAAUUUGGAAACACUGUUGAUUGAUUACUUGUUGGAGUAACUCUAUGUACUAGAGUAUGAUGUUAUUAAGUGAAAAUGAACUUGAGAAGAUAGGCUAUUGUUAGAAAUUGUUAUUCUAUCAUAGAAUUAAAACCAGACUUGAGCCUUUAUUAUCAGAAAGCAGAGCUAGCCCUAGGAGGCUGGCAAAUCACACCAUUUGGCCUCCAGGGAAGGCAUAAAGCUCCUCUACAUUAACUCACCCCAUCCCACGUCAAAGGAAUGCUAAUGUGAAUGGAUCUGAGUACAAGAAUAUUUAAUGACUCGGAGCACUUGGAGGCAGAAAAUUUCAAGAAACAAAAGAGGUUUUGAUUCUAGGUCAGAAUGGGGAAUUUUCUUUUCUCUCUCUGCAAAUUUGCUCUCUUUUCUCCUAGGACUACUUCUGUAAAAGGGGCGAGGGGCCUCCUCUCGUGAGCUGUUUUCUCUUCCCCCUCCGCCCACCUCCAGGGGCCUGUUGGUCUGAUUCGGAUUCCAUCUUCCUCUUCAUUGCACUUCCUUGGCAUGUCUUCCUGUGGAAUGGUCUUACCUGUUCACUUCAAUGGCAAUAACUGAAGAGCUAGAAUAUGAGUCUGGGCCAAAAGGAAAUGCAGAGGAAGUGUCUCUGGCAGCUUUGUCCCCAAGUCUCAUAGCUGUCAAGUUUAAACAGAGAGUCACUGAGCUUCCUUUAAGAAUUCCAUAUUGGGUCUGGGCCCAAAGUCCCACUUGGCAAUAAGGGGAUACAUUGCCUAGACUUAUGCUGUGUGUCUUCUUCUAAGCUGCAUUAAUUAUCUACUGCUGCAUAACAAAUUACCCCAAUACUUAGUGGCAGAAAACAGUAAAUGUUUAUUGUCUCAUAUAGUUUUUGUGGGUCAGAAUCUAAGCAGCUUAGCUGAGUCUUUCUGAUUUGGAUGUCUCAUAAGGUUGCAGUCCUGUUGUUGGCUGUGGCUGCAAUCAUUUGAUGGUUGGAUUGGGGCUAGAAGAUAAAUGCCACAAUGGCCCUCUCAUGUGGCUGUUAGGAGGAAGUCUGUCUCAGAUUGAUGCUGGCUAUUGGUAGGAAUCUCAAGUUCCACAUCACUUUAACCUGUCUAUAGGGUUAUUUGAGUGUCUUUCUGACAUGGCAGCUGGCAUUGCUUCAGAGUAAGUGAUUCAAGAGAGAAGAGACAGGGAGCAAGGAGGAAGUGGCAAUGCCUUUUAUGACCUAUCUUAGAAGUCACACACCAUCACAUCUGUUUGUCAGAACUUGAGCUCACACUCAAGGGGACAGGAAUUAGGCUCUACCUUUUGAAGAGAAGAGCAUCAGAGAAUUUGUGCACAUACAAUAAAACCAUCAUACAACACAAAGACUGCUAAGUUCACUAAGCCUGUGUGUCUCCUGUUGUGUCGGGCAUAAAUCUACACUUUACCUCCUUAGCUUUAUACAGCUAAGGAGGACUCAGUGACUGAACUUGACUGAAAGGAACGUGAGCAUAGGUGAUGCACACCUCUUCCCUGCAGAACAGAGUUGCCUUCUUCCCUUUCCACAGUGACCUUGGAGACAUGUUGAAGACGUUGCCCCCGAGUUCCUAGCAUCACAAGCUAAAAGGAGCCUUGGCGUGACAAGCAGAAUGUUCUGUUGUCAGCAAUAGUUUGUGAUCUGAGAAAGCAAUGCACUUUCAUCAUUUUGAGAUGUAGAUUUCUGGGUUUAUCACUUAUAGUAACCAGAUUUAUGUACUCUAAUAGAAUAUCUUCAACAAGGACUUAAAGAAAUGAUGUAGGGAGUGUAUAUGAGGGUAUGAUAACUAUGUAAUUUUUUACAUAUUAGCAUGGAUAACUUUUGGAAAAAUAUAGAUUACAAUGUUAGUAGUAAUUUGGACAUAGUUUUUGUUUGUUUUUAGUACUCGUUUUGGGGGAAUUCCUCAAAUUUUUGUUGUUUGUCAUAAAAAUGUAACUUAUUUUUAUUUUUAAAAGUUUUAUUGAGGUAUAAUUGACAUAACAUUAUAUUAGUUUCAGGUGUACAACAUAAUGAUUCAAUAUUUGUAUACAUUGCGAAAUGAUCACAGCAAUAGUGUAGUUAAUAUCCACCCUCAUAUAUAGUUAGGGAAUUUUUUUCUUGUUAUGGAGACUUUUAAAAUCUACUCUCUUAGCAACUUUCAAAUAUGCAAUACAGUGUUAUUAACUAUAGUCACCGUGCUGUAUAUGG